rnacentral:rRNA from 1 species
ACGCUCGACACCUACGGGAGGCAGCAGUGGGAAUAUUGCACAAUGGGGGAAACCCUGAUGCAGCGACGCCGCGUGAGCGAAGAAGUAUUUCGGUAUGUAAAGCUCUAUCAGCAGGGAAGAAGAAAGACGGUACCUGACUAAGAAGCCCCGGCUAACUACGUGCUAGCAGCCGCGGUAAUCUGAGCGGCUGGCAAGGC